rnacentral:rRNA from 1 species
AUGCGGCGCGGCCGAAGAAGGGCAAGGUAUCUGCGAAGAAGAACAAGGCGGCGGACGGCUCCGGCUCCUCGAAGCCGUCGAGGAAGAAGCUUGCAGGGCGUGCGAGGGGUGCGUCGGCUACCGAAGCACGGACGAGCUCACUUGUUGAGCCGGCGGCCGACGCGCAGAAGGUGUUCGAGGAAAUGCCCCAAAGGUGUAAAAUUUCGCCAACUUUUUGUUGUUGUAUUUUUUGAAUGCAUACAUAUAGAUAGCUUAUUUGCUUCGUUGUAUAUACUUUGUAGUUUCAACGAUGAGGCAUAUAUGUCAACUAUGGGUGUUGGCUCCAACAAUUUGCAUUGGUCUCAAACCAAUGACAUGCAUUUUGAUGACCAUGUGUUUGAGGUGGACAAGGAUGGUGAGGGCAUUGUCGACGCACCGAAAGGAAGAGGAGGCAACUACACCAAUGAGGAAGAUGUCUUGCUAUGCAAUACUUGGUUGCAAGUGUCGAGGGAUCCAUCCGUUGGAGGUGAUCAAAGUAAAGAUGCUUAUUGGAACCUGAUGAAGGAGCACUUUGAUCUACACAACAAGAGUGAAAUUGACUGCUUGGAACGAUCUCUUCGCUCCCAGUGGUCGACAAUCAGCCGAGAUUGUCAAAAGUGGGCGGCCGCACAAAAGGCGGUUGACAAGUUGAACCCAAGUGGCACUAAUGAUGAAGAUAGGGUAAGUGCCAUUUCAUCCAUGUUCAUCAUGCUUGUUGUUGGUGUUUGUAGUGCUAACUUGUUUUUUUUGUAG